AGUGUGGUGGCCGAGCGGUUAAGGCGUUGGAUUUAAGUUCCAAUGACAUUAGUCCUCGUUGGUUCAAAUCCCACCCGCACUA
rnacentral:tRNA from 1 species